GGCGCCGGGCAGCAGUGCGCAGGACGUGGUGGUGGUUCACGGACGGAGGACCGCCAUCGGGAAAGCGAAGAGAGGGGCGUUCAAGGACACGACGCCUGACGAGCUGCUGAGCGCCGUGAUGCGCGCGGUGCUCGCGGACGUUGGCCUUCCUCCCGACCGGCUGGGAGACGUUUGUGUCGGUAACGUGCUGCAGCCCGGAGCCGGUGCUGUGAUGGCCAG